UACGUAGGGGGCAAGCGUUGUCCGGAAUCAUUGGGCGUAAAGGGCGCGUAGGCGGCCACCGAAGGUCAGUUGUGAAAUCUCUGGGCUUAACCCAGAAAGGUCAACUGAUACUGCGGGGCUAGAGUGCAGAAGGGGCAACUGGAAUUCUCGGUGUAGCGGUGAAAUGCGUAGAUAUCGAGAGGAACACCUGCGGCGAAGGCGGGUUGCUGGGCUGACACUGACGCUGAGGCGCGAAAGCUAGGGGAGCGAACGGG
rnacentral:rRNA from 1 species